rnacentral:rRNA from 1 species
UGGUGGGGUUAUGGUCUACAAAGGCUAUUACUGGUAGCCGGCCUGAGAGGGUGACUGGCCACACUGGGACUGAUAUUCGGUCCAGACUUCUACGGGAGGUAGCAAUGGGGAAUAUUGCACUAUGGGCGCAAGCCUGAUGCAGUGACGCCGUGUGAGGGAUGACGGCCUUCGGGUUGUAAACCUCUUUCAGCACUGAUGAAGUGCAAGUGAUGGUAUGUGCAGAAGAAGG